CCGUCUCUCUUUUUUCUCUGCGAUUUUUCUUUCUUCUCUUCUUCUCUUCAAGGUCUGUUGAUGAAGAGCUUGAAGAACCGAUUGAAGUAAAGCGAAACCCGUUUAAUCAUUGAGAUCUUCUCAUUUGCCGCCUCUAUUUUAACUCAGUUUUUUCUUCUCUCUCUUCUUUUGUUCAAGGUCUAUUGAUGAAGAACUUGAAGAACUGAUUGAAGUAAGAAGUUCUACAAGAUAAGUGGUGAUGAUAGUGAUUCGACGAAAAUGAGACUUCUUAGGUGCCUAGAAGGAUCUUUAGGGUUGAACUAUUCAGCACUAAUAGAUGGACUAUUUAUAAUGAUGUGGAUGUGAAGUUUGGUGGUCUUGAUUGGUUGAUGGAACUUAUUGCAUGGGAGAUGCAAAUCAGAGAAACAAAGAUCAUUAACUUGUUUUGGUUCUCUCCAGAUAAUGUGCCAGAACUAAUUACAAAUGAUAAUGAGUACUUUAACAUGUGGAAUAGGGCUGAAAUUCAAGAUGAUGGUUAUGUGCAUCUUUACAUAAGUAUUAGUGACAGAGUUGUAAAGUCUGGUGAUAAAUGCCAAUCAUCUUUUGUGGUGACUAAUGAAGAUAUGCAUUUAACACCUAAGAAGAAGGUGACACAUGAAGAUGACUUUGUGUUUUCAACACCUAAGAAGAAGGUUAUAAGCAAUUCACCGAUAGUUUCUCCUGCUUUUAGGAAAAGUCCAAGGUUGGUUUGUAAGUCAAUUGAUGCUCAGAUAAAUGCUGCAUUUAGUAGGUUACUUUUGGAAUAUGAGGCAGUGUGCCAUCCAGAUGAUAAUGUGGAUGUAGAGUAUGAAAACAUUCAACUAGAUAAUGUGGAAGAGGAUGUGUGCCAUCCAUUUGAUGAUGAUAGAAGUCCACCAUGCUCUGAUGAUGAGGAGAAUGAUAUCGACAUAACUGAUGUAAGAGAUUUUGUGAACAUCUACUUUAAUGAUGACUUUUGGCAGAACUUUAGAAAGGAAGACUUUGUAGGUUCACAAGGAGAUGAUGUACCUGAAGGGGAUAAAGGAAAAAGUGUUGCAGUGGCUUUAGUGCCUAGUGAUGAUGACAACUGCCUUGGUAACUCACGGUAUCACUCUGACUCUGAAGAUGAGAAGCUUGACUCUAAAGAUGAGAAGCUUGACUCUAAAGAUGAGAAGAAGAAAACAGAGGCCCUUCAAAGCUUUUACCAUGAAUGAGACUAAGAAUGGGGUCCACAUAUUGCUGAUAUGGAUGAAGACUUAUUUCAUGUUGAUGAUGGUCAUGUAGUGUAUAAUCCUGAUUUAAUGGAGGUGGGCAUGCAGUUUGAAGACAAGAUACAGUUUAAGAAGCAUCUCAGGACUUAUGCAGUGAUAAAGAAAUUUCAGUAUAUUUUGAAGCCUUGUGACAAUAGAACGAUAAGAGUGAAAUGUAGGUAUCAUAAGUCUGAAGGUUGUAAGUUUCAAAAAUUUGCAUCAAAUACAAAGGGGAGAAGACUUUUACUGUUAGAAGUAUGAAUAUGGAGCAUACUUGUGUUGGAGAUCCAUUUAGCAUAAAUAAAUCAGCAAAUGCAGAGUUUGCUGCUCAUUAUAUGUUUGAGAAGUUGAAGACUGGUGGAUUCCUUCAGCAGCCAUGGGACAUUGCAGAUGAAUUCUACACUUCUCACAAAACUUCUCUGCCAUAUAAUGUUGCUUGGAAAGCUAGGACUAUGUGCUUGGAAAAAAUGCAUGGUAGUUAUGAAGAGUCUUAUAAAAUGGUUCCAUCCUUUGUAGACAUGGUGGCAAGUACAAAUCCUGGUUCAGUAGCAAAUUACAGUGUUGGAAGGGAUGAUAAUUGCUUUGAUUCAAUGAUGAUUGCAUUUCAUGCUCCAAUUCAUGGGUGGAAAAAUGGUUGCAGAAAAGUGGUUGGUGUUGAUGCAUGUCACCUUACUGAAAAGCUGGGAGGUUGUCUUAUGGAUGCUACUGGUUUAGAUGCACAAAACCAGGUUGUACCAUUAACAAUACAAGUGGUCAGAAAUGAAUGUUUUGAGAAUUGAUAUUUGUUUUUGAAGCAGUUAAAGCCCCUGAUUGAAUCAGAUGAAACAAUUACUUUUAUUUCUGAUAGGCAAAAAGGUUUGAUUGAGGAUGUUAGUGCUUUAUUUCCAGGAAGCCCACACAGAUAUUGUUUUAGACACAUGUUCAAGAAUUGAAGACUCAUUACAAGGGUUCAAAGAUACAUAACCUUAUCUGGAAUGCUGUUAAAGCCUAUAAGUUCACCCACUGGAAGUUCCAUAUGGAUGCUUUGGUGCUGGAAUAUGCAGCUAUUGCUCAAUAUAUGAUGAAUGAGGAUCCUACCCAGUGGAGAAAGCAGUUGUCUUUGAACUGGAAAAAUGAAGAAUUAGUACCUGAAGCAAUGAAGCUGAUUGAGAAGAUGAAAGAAUGCACUGCAAGGAAAACAGCAUCAGGGACCCACUGGAAGUCUUGACAUUGGAUGUUGUUGCAUUGCAGGCACUGUACUGGUGGUUUAUGUCACCACAAGCAAAGCAGCACUUAUUGGCAGGAAGCUGAACAUCCAAAUCUUCAACAGUAUUUAUUGCAUCUACAAACCAUUCAAAAUAGUUGCAGAUGGAGCAGUUGAAGAACUUCUCACCAGGAUGCUCAGUAGUUUGAGACAGCAACAUUCUCCUAAAACCAUUGCAAGAUAAAUGGAUGGUGGUUUUAUAGAAGACAAAACAUAAUAUGACCGUUCAACGGUCAUAUUUGGGUGAUAGUGAUGACGUGUACAACUUGCCACGUCAUGGUUAUCUGCCAGGUGGCACAUGCAGAGAUGACAUGGACAUGUUGACACAUGUGCAAGAUGCCACGUAGGCAACUGUAGUUAACUACCUAGAAUUAGAUGUCAAGGGCAGGUUUGUCUACUCUUGGGCGCAAAUAUAUGUGACGUGGCACCGUUUUUUUCAUUUGAAAAUUUCGGAUGGAGAACAUUGUCAGAGGAACAUGAUUGUAAUUCUGUUUUAAAGAGGAACAUAUUUGUAAUUAAAAUUAUAAAGAGGUACAUAUAGUUAAAAAAACCCUUGAAAAAUUCA